rnacentral:snRNA from 1 species
GUGCUCGCGCGGGCAGCAUGUAUACUGAAAUUGGAACGAUGCAGCAGAGAUUAGCAUGGCCCCUGGGCAAGGAUGACACACAAAUUUGCAGUGUCUCAUAUUUAA